GUCCCGGUAGCUCAGCUGGAUAGAGCAACGGUUUCCUAAACCGUAGGUCGUGGGUUCGAAUCCCGCCCGGGAUGCCA
rnacentral:tRNA from 1 species